UUCCCACAUAGGAAUCGAACCCUGGCCUCCUUGAUAAGAGCUAGGUAUAUGAACCUUUAGACCAUAUGUGA